CAGGUGGCCUCCAGGUGCAAAGUGGGAAGUGUGAGUCCUCAGUCUUGGGCUAUUCGGCCACGUGCCUGCCGGACAUGGGACGCUGGAGGGUCAGCAGCGUGGAGUCCUGGCCUUUUGCGUCCACGGGUGGGAAAUUGGCCAUUGCCACGGCGGGAACUGGGACUCAGGCUGCCCCCCGGCCGUUUCUCAUCCGUCCACCGGACUCGUGGGCGCUCGCACUGGCGCUGAUGUAGUUUCCUGACCUCUGACCCGUAUUGUCUCCAGAUUAAAGGUACGACAUUUGGAGGCCCCAGCGAGAAACGUCACCGGGAGAAACGUCACCGGGCGAGAGCCGGGCCCGCUGUGUGCUCCCCCGGAAGGACAGCCAGCUUGUAGGGGGGAGUGCCACCUGAAAAAAAAAUUUCCAGGUCCCCAAAGGGUGACCGUCUUCCGGAGGACAGCGGAUCGACUACCAUGUGGGUGCCCACAAAAAUUCCACCUCUGAGUCCUCAACUGCUGACCCCGGGGUCAGACACGGGGUUUCACCAUGUUGGCCAGGCCGGUCUUGAACUUGUGACGUCAGGUGAUGCACCCGCCUUGGCCUCCCAAAGUGCUGGGAUUACAGGUCCAGAUUUUGAACAAAUCUCGCUAGAGAUUGAACAGAGCUGCGCCUGGAUCCCGCCACAGUGAGGAGACCUGAAGACCAGAGAAAACACAGCAAGCCCCUGGAUCCUCCUGGAAUCCCCGAUCCCUCUUGCUCCCUGGCAGAGUUUUCUAGUCCCUCUUACUUGAAGCAUGUCUUUCAGAGCCCGGCACCACCCAUCUUGAGUAUCUGAUACCCCAUCAGCCUGAGUCUCUUAAAGGCCUUUAUACACAUAUGUCUACACAUAGGGAUUUGGAUGAUCUCGGGAUCCCACAUCCUCGCUGUCCCCUGUCCCCCCGCAACAUCCCCCACCAAUACCUUUCUGAAGUUUUCUAGUCCCUCCUUUUUGUUUGUGCUCCUUAAAGCCCAGCCCCAUGCCUGACUUUGGUUCCCAGUGAGCAUUGUACAUUUGUGGAUAUUAAAUCUUUGGCAAAGUCAUUUACCUGGGCUGGA
rnacentral:lncRNA from 1 species